rnacentral:rRNA from 1 species
AUUGAACGCUGGCGGCAUGGCUAAAACAUGCAAGUCGAACGAGAACCUCGCAAGAGGGGACAGUGGCGGAAGGGUCAGUAAUGGGAUCGAAUGUACCCCGAGGUGGAGGAUAGCGUCGGGAAACUGACGGUAAUACUCCAUGUCCUCUACGGAGAAAAGAUUUAUCGCCUUGGGAGCAGCGAUCCUCCUAUCAGGUAGUUGGCGGGGUAAAAGCCCACCAAGCCGAAGACGGGUAGCGGGUGUGAGAGCACGGCCCGCGACAUCGAGACUGAGACACUGCUCGGACUCCUACGGGAGGCAG